rnacentral:rRNA from 1 species
CAGUAGCCACGGGAAUACGUAGGGUGCAAGCGUUAAUCGGAAUUACUGGGCGUAAAGCGUGCGCAGGCGGUUUUGUAAGACAGAGGUGAAAUCCCCGGGCUCAACCUGGGAACUGCCUUUGUGACUGCAAGGCUGGAGUGCGGCAGAGGGGGAUGGAAUUCCGCGUGUAGCAGUGAAAUGCAUAGAUAUGCGGAGGAACACCGAUGGCGAAGGCAAUCCCCUGGGCCUGCACUGACGCUCAUGCACGAAAGCGUGGGGAGCAAACAGGAUUAGAUACCCGCGUAGUCCCUGUCUCUUAUAC